rnacentral:rRNA from 1 species
GAUGAACGCUGACAGAAUGCUUAACACAUGCAAGUCUUUGGCGAAGCUGUGCUUGCACAGCCUAGCCAAGGCGGACGGGUGAGUAACGCGUAAGGAACUUGCCCUGCAGUCAGGGAUAACAGACGGAAACGACUGAUAAGACCUGGUAAAGUCAGGCGGACUCAUGUCCAGCCUGAUGAAAAGAGAUGCUGCAGGAGAGCCUUGCGUCCUAUUAGCUUGUUGGUGGGGUAACGGCCCACCAAGGCGAUGAUAGGUAGCCGGCCUGAGAGGGUGGACGGCCACAAGGGGACUGAGAUACGGCCCUUACUCCUACGGGAGGCAGCAGUGGGGAAUAUUGGACAAUGGGGGCAACCCUGAUCCAGCAAUUCUGUGUGCACGAUGAAGGUUUUCGGAUUGUAAAGUGCUUUCAGCAGGGAAGAAAAAAUGACUGUACCUGCAGAAGAAGCGACGGCUAAAUACGUG